rnacentral:piRNA from 1 species
UAAAUGGAAGGUGUGACCAGAAGUCAGGC